CCUACGGGAGGCAGCAGUGGGGAAUAUUGCACAAUGGGGGAAACCCUGAUGCAGCGACGCCGCGUGAGUGAAGAAGUAUUUCGGUAUGUAAAGCUCUGUCAGCAGGGAAGAAAAUGACGGUACCUGACCAAGAAGCCCCGGCUAACUACGUGCCAGCAGCCGCGGUACUACGUAGGGGGCAAGCGUUGUCCGGUUUUACUGGGUGAAAAGGGAGCGUAGACGGUAGGGCAAGUCUGGAGUGAAAGGCGGGGGCUCAACCCCCGGACUGCUCUAGAAACUGCCAGGCUGGAGUGCAGGAGAGGUAAGUGGAAUUCCUAGUGUAGCGGUGGAAUGCGUAGAUAUUAGGAGGAACACCAGUGGCGAAGGCGGCUUACUGGACUGUAACUGACGUUGAGGCUCGAAAGCGUGGGGAGCAAACAGGAUUAGAUACCCGUGUAGUC
rnacentral:rRNA from 1 species